rnacentral:rRNA from 1 species
AGGCAGCAGUGGGGAAUAUUGCACAAUGGGGAAACCCUGAUGCAGNCAUGCCGCGUGUGUGAAGAAGGCCNUNGGGUUGUAAAGCACNUUCAGCGAGGAGGAAAGGUUGGCGCCUAAUAAGGGUCAACUGUGACGUUANUCGCAGAAGAAGCACCGGCUAANUCCGUGNCAGCAGCCGCGGUAAUACGGAGGGUGCAAGCGUUAAUCGGAAUUACUGGGCGUAAAGCGCACGCAGGCGGUUGGAUAAGUUAGAUGUGAAAGCCCCGGGCUCAACCUGGGAAUUGCAUUUAAAACUGUCCAGCUAGAGUCUUGUAGAGGGGGGUAGAAUUCCAGGUG